ACUCCUCAAAGAGCAGUAAGAAUGAAAAAAAUGAAGAACCUGAAAAGCCAUCACACGAACAACUCCUCACUGACUGUGAGGCAGCACUUGAAGCCAUCAGCAAAUUGCUAAUUUCUCAGAACGUUAUGCAAGUGUCAGCAGAAGCCCAUCAGCCAGAGAUAAAAGAGAAUGAGGAGAGUUUACACGAGAAGGCAAAGCAAGGCAAGUUUAUUUGUAUAGCACAAUUCAACACAAGGUAAUUCAAAGUGCUUUACAU